rnacentral:rRNA from 1 species
UACGUAGGGGGCAAGCGUUGUCCGGAUUUAUUGGGCGUAAAGAGCGUGUAGGCGGCCAAGCAGGUCAGCUGUGAAAACUCGAGGCUCAACCUCGAGCGUGCACCCGAUACUGCCGGGCUUGAGGCAGGUAGGGGAGAUCGGAAUUCCUGGUGUAGCGGUGAAAUGCGCAGAUAUCAGGAGGAACACCGGUGGCGAAGGCGGAUCUCUGGGCCUGUCCUGACGCUGAGGCGCGAAAGCUAGGGGAGCGAACAGG